rnacentral:ncRNA from 1 species
CUGAAUAUUCCAUUAUCGGGUGCCCAUUCCACAGGGAUGGGUUAAAAGGGAAAGUGGUGAAAUACCACUGCAGCCCACCGUUACUGUGAUGUUGACGAAACCAGCAAGAAUCACUGGAAUAAUAUAUUCUGGGAAGAGUUGGGAGUAGGAUGAAGCUCAGCCAGGAAACCUGCCCGUUAAUUGUCGAAUCU